ACCUUACAGUGCUGAUCCUCAUCCUUCUCCUCCCUCGAAACUCCCAAAACAGUCCCAUGCACAUCUCCUUUCCCCUUAACAGUUUAGUUCUAACAUCAUUGAGAACCAAUCAAUGUUAAAAUUGUGAAGGUGGCACUAGAGAUUGCCAAACACUGACACACUAGACAUCAACCAGCUUUGCUUCAGGCAAGAACACUGGUCUCUCACCUUCUCUAGGCCUAAAUCCUCUUACCUGUAGAACAAGACAGUUGACGACAACCUCUAGGUUUUCUUCUAUUAACAGCACUGAAUUCAGAGACACUGGAUGGGUCUGCUAUGGUCUGAAUGGUCAUAUCCCUCCAAGGUGAUGGUAUUAGGGAGUGGACCUGUGGGAGAUGAUUAGAUUAUGAGAGCAGAACCCUCAUGAGUGAGAUUAAUGUCCUUAUACAAGCAGUCCCAGACAGCUGCCUUGUCCCUUCCACUUUGUGAGGACACAGCAAGAAGGCACCACCUAUGAACCAGGGCGUGGGUGUUCGCCAACACUGAACCUAUCAGCACCUUGAUCUUGGACUUCCCAGCCUCUAGAACUGUGAGAAAUAAAUGUCUGUUGUUCAUAGGCUACCUAGUUUAUGACACUUCGUUAUAGCAGCCAGAAUGGACAGUUUCCUUGGCAUUUCAAGGUAGAGUGUGUAAAAAUACCCAGGAAAAAUUUCACGUUCUUCAUUUUUCAUAAAACCAUAGAUUUGAAUUAGUAAAACAGAGCUUAGAGUUCAACUAGUCUUACUCUCUCAUUUUCAGAUGGGAAAAUGGAGGCUCAGAGGGGAUAGUUGACUUUCUGAAAGUUACUCCAUCAUUUGGAGUAGAGUUAGAGCUGAAACUCAGGUUUCUGAUCUCACAGUCCAGUGCUGUAAACAACAGGAUAAUGUAAGAGUUGAUGGAGGAAAACCAACUUCUCCCUUUUAUGAGCUCCUCUCUCAGCCCACAGACAAGAGCCUCCACCCACUGCCCUCAACCAGUCCUACCACCUCCCAUCCCAUCCUCCAGGAGGAGAAGGUUCAUCUGAUUGCAGAGUGCAGUAAAGGGCAAAUUUACUUCCUAAAACAGAAGUCAAACGUCAAAGAAGACUAAAAGACUUCAGUCCAGAGACUUCUGAAGACCUUGGAUUUGAUUUAUAUUUUUUGUGCCUUGGGUAAUUAUUUAUGUGGCUUAAGGUAUUUUGGAUACAGAUAACUUGUUCUUAAAAUUAGAUGAAUGAGAACUCAUGACAAGUCAAUGCAUUUAUAGAAUAUUGGCAUGGUGUAAUAUGCACUAUUGCUUCACUUUCACUAUUUAAU
rnacentral:lncRNA from 13 species